UUGUAAAACUAAUUCUCAAUUGCAUAACAAUAGUUAGUUAAGUGGUUAGAGGGUGUGUUUGUUAGUUACAAGUGAUUUGUGUAAUUACUUGUCUAACAAGCAACCACUAUAUGAAAAACACUUUGGAUGUUCAUAAUCAUAGCUAAUGAAAAAAAACUUUGCACUCAAUGAAAAAAUAAAAUAAACUUCGCAACCAUUAUUCAUCAGUGUAUGUUCAUCUUGCUUUGUUGUGCCUAUUGAUAAGCUCAAGCCCAGUAUUAUACACUGGCACACUGCUUUGAACUCAUUCUGCACUCAUUCAUGUGUGUGUUCCUGAGCCUAUCUUGAUCUAACAAAACCAAUAACUUUGAUUAAUAAAUUUAACACAAAAUAUAAUUUAGGAAUAAUCACAAACAUUUCAGACAAGUUUAUUACUCCAAUAACUUUGAUUAAUACUAUUUGUCAAAAUAAAAUUAAUACUCAUGAUUUUUUAGAGGUUCUAUGUCAUUCAAAGCAGACAAAUGUAAUCUAAAGUAGCUAGAGAAUCGAGAGC
rnacentral:lncRNA from 1 species